UACGUAGGUGGCAAGCGUUAUCCGGAUUUAUUGGGCGUAAAGGGAACGCAGGCGGUCUUUUGAGUCUGAUGUGAAAGCCUUCGGCUUAACCGGAGUAGUGCAUUGGAAACUGGGAGACUUGAGUGCAGAAGAGGAGAGUGGAACUACAUGUGUAGCGGUGAAAUGCGUAGAUAUAUGGAAGAACACCAGUGGCGAAAGCGGCUCUCUGGUCUGUAACUGACGCUGAGGUUCGAAAGCGUGGGUAGCAAACAGG
rnacentral:rRNA from 1 species